UGCACUUUUCUUUAGCGGCGGACGGGUGAGUAAUGCUUAGGAAUCUGCCUAUUAGUGGGGGACAACAUUCCGAAAGGGAUGCUUAAUACCGCAUACGUCCUACGGGAGAAAGCAGGGGAUCUUCGGACCUUGCGCUUAAUAGAUGAGCCUAAGUCGGAUUAGCUAGUUGGUGGGGUAAAGGCCUACCAAGCCGACGAUCUGUAGCUGGUCUGACAGCACGACCAGCCCCUGGGACUGAGACACGGCCCAGACUCCUACGGGAGGCAGCAGUGGGGAAUUUUGGACAAUGGGCGCAAGCCUGAUCCAGCCAUGCCGCGUGCAGGAUGAAGGCCUUCGGGUUGUAAACUGCUUUUGUACGGAACGAAAAGACUCUGGUUAAUACCUGGGGUCCAGACGGU
rnacentral:rRNA from 1 species